rnacentral:lncRNA from 10 species
GAAGAUUCUAAACCAUAUUCAGGAAAGGUAUGCUACGUCAAAACUAGCGAUUACUGAGCCCAUGUUUUAAGACAGCCAAAUCUCUAGGCUAUUUUGGAUCUUAUCCUGGACAACACUAUUUCUGAUUUGUAUGGUAACCAAGGCCCUCUGUGGGUUAGUUUCAGCUUUCAAGCAGCCGUGGCUCAGUCUAGUGAGAGGCAGUCCUGCGUUCUGCCUGGUGGGAGUCAGAGUCUUAAGAUUUGCCAAGUCCUGAUGCCAUCAGCAUUCACAUUGCCUUACAGAGGUCUCCUCCCCACUCCAAGAUAGGUAGGCCCACCACCUGUUCUUGUCUGCAGCCUUCAGACUUGUUCUCCUUGAGGUCUUCAGUUCCGCAAUAGGAAAUAUCUUGAAAUCCCCUUCUUGACUGAGGCCACCCUUUGCUGAGGUUACUGACCUUUCUGCUUGCUGCUUCCUGGCAUCCUGUUUCUCUCUGCUUAUUUUGCCCUUUUCUGCCAGUUCCUUCAGGGCUCUUGUUGGAUUCUCUCUUUCCAUGAAGUACAGAUUUUAGAGUGCACUGGAGUCCAACUGCUUGGGUUCGAAUCCCAGCUUCUACCACUUACUCGCUCUUGUGAAGGCAUUGAGACAGCGGAGGAAUUUGUAUGCAAAAUUACUGGUCAUUUUAUUCAACGUGAUAAUGGCAUGGCAGUUGUUAUUAUUUUUUAUUUAAGAAAUGUUGAUUUCUAGGAUUUACUUUAAAAUAUUCCAACUUAAAAAAAUGGAGGAAGGGGGGUUGGUGAAAUGAGAUUGGCAACAUGGUAAUAAUUGUCUAAGCUGGGUGGCAGAUACAUUAUACAUUAUCUGUCUGCAGCUAUAUUAUACAUUAUAUGGUUAAUUCUACUAGUCUCUCAAUCUUGGGUAAGUUUAGAAGUUCCCCAACUAAAAGGUGUAAAGGUUUAAAAUGUGUAAAAUGAAAAUGGCCUCAUGAAUUAUGAAUGAAUUAUUUGUAUUCAAAUAAUUGUGGUUGGUUGUGGAACACCAGCCCGUCUGAGCAGUGCCUUCUUAGGAUUCAAGACCUGGUUGCAAAGCUUCAACUUGAGCUUUAGUUUUUUGCUUUGGUAUUUCUUCUGCACUCCUUGUUUACAAGGAUUUCAUUUCAGCAAAGAAGGCAUCUAUUGAAAUAAGACCAACCAGCAGGAAGAUUCUAAACCGUAUUCAAGAAAGGUAUGCUACAUCAAAACUAGCAAUUAUUGAGCCCAAAAUGAAUUAUUUGGAUGGGGGUAACAUGGGGAAGAGUGAGCUGACUACAUAUAAAAUUUACUGGGGAGAAACAGGAGGGAGUUUGCACUGAGCCUCCUGUAGUUUAUGGUGGUUCAUGAGUGUGGCAGAGAGAGUGGAAGACCAGGUCCCAAAUAGAAUAUAUGUUUGAUGGUGUAAAGCUAUUGCCUUCUGACCUGGAUUCUGCUCUGCAGGCCCUAGGAAGACCCCUGUACCCCUGGUCAGCCUCCCAUGCUGGGUUAGCAUUACCAGUUAGUCAGCUCUAGCAUAAGCCAACUGGGUCAACGGAGGGUUGCAAGAAAUGGACAAUGUCAUCCAAUUAUUCUAUAGCAUUGUUGUACCUGAGUUCAUAUGCUUUGAGUGGGGAAAUUAUAUCCAGUUGGUAAAUUUGGAAAAAAACUCAAACAAAUCAGCAAAGUAAAAACAAUAUUCCUUGUUUCUCUUGCAUAUUUUGGAC